AAACAUUUGAAAGGAGGUGAUCCAGUGCAUCAUGAGGUAUUGGAGAAGUGUGUCGGGACAACUUAUGGGGGUCACAGCUAGGGCAGCCCUUGGCUGAGAACACCAUAAGGUGGGCAACCUAACCGACCCGCCUCCGUAAUUCAGGAAGGGGCCAUCCAUCACCGGGUGGCCCU
rnacentral:sRNA from 1 species